rnacentral:rRNA from 1 species
GAUGAACGCUGGCGGCGUGCUUAACACAUGCAAGUCGAACGGAAAGGCCCUGCUUUUGUGGGUUUCUCGAGUGGCGAACGGGUGAGUAACACGUGUGUAACCUGCCCCUGACUUUGGGGUAACUUCUGGAAACUGGGGCUAAUACCGGAUAUGAGCUCCUGCUGCACGGUGGGGGUUAGAAAGUUUCGGCGUUUGGGGAUGGACUCGCGGCUUAUCAGCUUGUUUGUGGGGUAGUGGCUUACCAAGGCUUUGACGGGUAGCCGGCCUGAGAGGGUUACCGGCCACAUUGGGACUGAGAGACGGCCCAGACUCCUACGGGAGGCAGAAGUGGGGAAUAUUGCACAAUGGGCGGAAGCCUGAUGCAGCAACGCCGCGUGCGGGAUGACGGCCUUCGGGUUGUAAACCGCUUUCGCCUGUGACGAAGCGUGAGUGACGGUAAUGGGUAAAGAAGCACCGGCUAACCACGUG